UUCCGUAGGUGACCUGCGGAAGGAUCAUUAUUGAAUGAAUGUAGAGUCGGUUGUCGCUGGUCCUUUCGGGGACAUGUGCACGCCUUCUCUUUCAUCCACACACACCUGUGCACUCGUGAGACGGAAGCCCUCGGGCGUCCGUCUGCUCUACAUAAACUCAUAUCUAUAAUUUGAAUGUAAUUGAUGUAACACAUCUUUAAACUAAGUUUCAACAACGGAUCUCUUGGCUCUCGCAUCGAUGAAGAACGCAGCGAAAUGCGAUAAGUAAUGUGAAUUGCAGAAUUCAGUGAAUCAUCGAAUCUUUGAACGCACCUUGCGCUCCUUGGUAUUCCUUGGAGCAUGCCUGUUUGAGUAUCAUGAAAUUAUCAAAAUAAUUCUUUUGUUCAUUCAAUUGAAUUUUAUUUUGGACUUGGAGGUCUGCAGAUUCACGUCUGCUCCUUUUAAAUAUAUUAGCUGGAUCUCAGUGAGCUCGGUUCCACUCGGCGUGAUAAGUAUCACUCGCUGAGGACACUGUAAAAGGUGGCCGGGAUUGCGGAUGAACCGCUUCUAAUCGUCCAUUUACUUGGACAACAAUACUUUAUGAUCUGAUCUCAAAUCAGGUAGGACUACCCGCUGAACUUAAGCAUAUCAAUAAGCGGAGGAAAAGAAACUAACAAGGAUUCCCCUAGUAACGGCGAGUGAAGCGGGAAGAGCUCAAAUUUAAAAUCUGGCGGUGUACUCCGUCCGAGUUGUAGUCUAGAGAAGCAUCAUCCGUGCCGGACCAUGUACAAGUCUCUUGGAACAGAGCGUCAUAGAGGGUGAGAAUCCCGUCCUUGACAUGGACUCCCGGUGCUUUGUGUUGAGCUCUCAACGAGUCGAGUUGUUUGGGAAUGCAGCUCAAAAUGGGUGGUAAAUUCCAUCUAAAGCUAAAUAUUGGCGAGAGACCGAUAGCGAACAAG
rnacentral:rRNA from 1 species